rnacentral:rRNA from 1 species
CAGGACGAACGCUGGCGGCGUGCUUAAUACAUGCAAGUCAACUGAACUUUAGGUAGCAAUAUUUAAAGGGAGGUGGCGCACGGGUGAGUAACACGUAGGUAAUCUGCCUUUAGGUCUGACACAACCCCGAGAAAUCGGGGGCUAAUAUCAGAUGAUGCAGCGGCUCGACAUCGAGACAGUUGUUAAACCUUCGGGGCCUAAAGAUGAGCCUGCGUCUGAUUAGCUGGUUGGCGGGGUAACGGCCCACCAAGGCAACGAUCAGUAGCUGGUCUGAGAGGAUGAUCAGCCACGACUGGAACUGAGACACGGUCCAGACUCCUACGGGAGGCAGCAGUAAGGAAUAUUGCUCAAUGGCCGAAAGGCUGAAGCAGCAACGCCGCGUGGAGGAUGAAAUACUUUUGUAUGUAAACUCCUGUGAGAAGGGAAAAAUAUGCAGAUUUUCUGCGUUGAUUGUACCUUCAGAGGAAGCCCCGGCUAACUACGUG